GAUGAACGCUGGCGGCGUGCCUAAUACAUGCAAGUCGAGCGAAUGGAUUAAGAGCUUGCUCUUAUGAAGUUAGCGGCGGACGGGUGAGUAACACGUGGGUAACCUGCCCAUAAGACUGGGAUAACUCCGGGAAACCGGGGCUAAUACCGGAUAACAUUUUGAACCGCAUGGUUCGAAAUUGAAAUGCGGCUUCGGCUGUCACUUCUGGAUGGACCCGCGUCGCAUUAGCUAGUUGGCGAGGUAACGGCUCACCAAGGCAACGAUGCGUAGCCGACCUGAGAGGGUGAUCGGCCACACUGGGACUGAGACACGGCCCAGACUCCUACGGGAGGCAGCAGUAGGGAAUCUUCCGCAAUGGACGAAAGUCUGACGGAGCAACGCCGCGUGAGUGAUGAAGGCUUUCGGGUCGUAAAACUCUGUUGUUAGGGAAGGACAAGUGCUAGUUGAAUAAGCUGGCACCUUGACGGUACCUAACCAGAAAGCCACGGCUAACUACGUGCCAGCAGCCGCCGUAA
rnacentral:rRNA from 1 species